rnacentral:rRNA from 1 species
CGAACGGAAAGGCCCUGCUUUUGUGGGGUGCUCGAGUGGCGAACGGGUGAGUAACACGUGAGUAACCUGCCCUUGACUUUGGGAUAACUUCAGGAAACUGGGGCUAAUACCGGAUAGGAGCUCCUGCUGCAUGGUGGGGGUUGGAAAGUUUCGGCGGUUGGGGAUGGACUCGCGGCUUAUCAGCUUGUUGGUGGGGUAGUGGCUUACCAAGGCUUUGACGGGUAGCCGGCCUGAGAGGGUGACCGGCCACAUUGGGACUGAGAUACGGCCCAGACUCCUACGGGAGGCAGCAGUGGGGAAUAUUGCACAAUGGGCGGAAGCCUGAUGCAGCAACGCCGCGUGCGGGAUGACGGCCUUCGGGUUGUAAACCGCUUUCGCCUGUGACGAAGCGUGAGUGACGGUAAUGGGUAAAGAAGCACCGGCUAACUACGUGCC